AGAGUUUGAUCCUGGCUCAGGAUGAACGCUGGCGGCGUGCCUAACACAUGCAAGUCGAACGGAGUUCUUAAGGAAUGCGACUUCGGUCAAAUGACUUUUGAACUUAGUGGCGGACGGGUGAGUAACGCGUGAGCAAUCUGCCUUUCAGAGGGGGAUAACAUUUGGAAACAGAUGCUAAUACCGCAUAAGAUUACAGUACCGCAUGAUACAGUGAUCAAAGGAGCAAUCCGCUGAAAGAUGGGCUCGCGUCCGAUUAGAUAGUUGGUGAGGUAACGGCUCACCAAGUCGACGAUCGGUAGCCGGACUGAGAGGUUGAACGGCCACAUUGGGACUGAGACACGGCCCAGACUCCUACGGGAGGCAGCAGUGGGGAAUAUUGCACAAUGGGCGAAAGCCUGAUGCAGCAACGCCGCGUGAGGGAAGACGGUUUUCGGAUUGUAAACCUCUGUUUUCGGUGACGAACAAAUGACGGUAACCGAGUAGGAAGCCACGGCUAACUACGUGCCAGCAGCCGCGGUAAUACGUAGGUGGCAAGCGUUAUCCGGAAUUACUGGGUGUAAAGGGAGCGCAGGCGGGAUAGCAAGUCAGCUGUGAAAACUAUGGGCUCAACCCAUAAACUGCAGUUGAAACUGUUAUUCUUGAGUGGAGUAGAGGCAAGCGGAAUUCCGAGUGUAGCGGUGAAAUGCGUAGAUAUUCGGAGGAACACCAGUGGCGAAGGCGGCUUGCUGGGCUCUAACUGACGCUGAGGCUCGAAAGUGUGGGGAGCAAACAGGAUUAGAUACCCUGGUAGUCCACACUGUAAACGAUGAUUGCUAGGUGUGGGGGGUCUGACCCCCUCCGUGCCGGAGUUAACGCAAUAAGCAAUCCACCUGGGGAGU
rnacentral:rRNA from 1 species